GACGAACGCUGGCGGCGUGCUUAACACAUGCAAGUCGAACGGAAAGGCCCUGCUUGCAGGGUGCUCGAGUGGCGAACGGGUGAGUAACACGUGGGUGAUCUGCCCCUUACUUUGGGAUAAGCCUGGGAAACUGGGUCUAAUACUGGAUAGGACCAUGCUGUAGGUGGUGUGGUGGAAAGAUUAGUUUCGGUAAGGGAUGAGCUCGCGGCCUAUCGGCUUGUUGGUGGGGUAAUGGCCUACCAAGGCGUCGACGGGUAGCCGGCCUGAGAGGGUGGACGGCCACAUUGGGACUGAGAUACGGCCCAGACUCCUACGGGAGGCAGCAGUGGGGAAUAUUGCACAAUGGGCGCAAGCCGGAUGCAGCGACGCCGCGUGGGGGAUGACGGCCUUCGGGUUGUAAACUCCUUUCAGCCAUGACGAAGCCCUUGUGGUGACGGUAGUGGUAGAAGAAGCACCGGCUAACUACGUG
rnacentral:rRNA from 1 species